AAUUUGCGUUAGGGAUAGAAGUGGUAUCUCCCGAUUUAUAAAAACAAGGCUUUUUAGCCGUAGUUUUUAUUUAGCGGGAAUAUAACGGAUAGCCCGACCCUUG
rnacentral:misc_RNA from 1 species